rnacentral:rRNA from 1 species
UACAGAGGUCCCAAGCGUUGUUCGGAUUCAUUGGGCGUAAAGGGUGCGUAGGCGGCGCGGUAAGUCGGGUGUGAAAUCUCGGGGCUUAACUCCGAAACUGCAUUCGAUACUGCCGUGCUUGAGGACUGGAGAGGAGACUGGAAUUUACGGUGUAGCGGUGAAAUGCGUAGAUAUCGUAAGGAAGACCAGUGGCGAAGGCGGGUCUCUGGACAGUUCCUGACGCUGAGGCACGAAGGCCAGGGGAGGCAAACGGGG